rnacentral:rRNA from 1 species
UACGUAGGGUCCGAGCGUUGUCCGGAGUUACUGGGCGUAAAGCGCGCGCAGGCGGUCUGGCAAGCAUGGCGUGAAAGCCCCCGGCUCAACCGGGGAGGGUCGUCGUGGACUGCCGGACUUGAGGGCGGUAGGGGUUGGUGGAAUGCCCGGUGUAGUGGUGAAAUGCGUAGAGAUCGGGCGGACCACCCGUGGCGAAGGCGGCCAACUGGGCCGACCCUGACGCUGAGGCGCGAAAGCUAGGGGAGCGAACGGG